rnacentral:rRNA from 1 species
CAAGGUUGACCUCGGAUCAGGUAGGACUACCCGCUGAACUUAAGCAUAUCAAUAAGCGGAGGAAAAGAAACCAACAGGGAUUGCCCCAGUAACGGCGAGUGAAGCGGCAACAGCUCAAAUUUGAAAUCUGGCCUUCGGGUCCGAGUUGUAAUUUGGAGAGGAUGCUUCUGGCGCGGCGCCGUCCGAGUUCCUUGGAACAGGACGCCAUAGAGGGUGAGAGCCCCGUACGGGCGGACGCCUAGCCUCUGUGAAGCUCCUUCGACGAGUCGAGUAGUUUGGGAAUGCUGCUCAAAAUGGGAGGUAAAUUUCUUCUAAAGCUAAAUACCGGCCAGAGACCGAUAGCGCACAAGUAGAGUGAUCGAAAGAUGAAAAGCACUUUGAAAAGAGGGUUAAAAAGUACGUGAAAUUGUUGAAAGGGAAGCGCCUGUGACCAGACUUGCUGCCCGCGGAUCAUCCGGCGUUCUUCGCCGGUGCACUCCGCGGGCGGCAGGCCAGCAUCGGUUUUCCUGGGGGGUCAAAGGUCGCGGGAACGUGGCUCCUUCGGGAGUGUUAUAGCCCGCGGCGUCAUGCCUCUGGGGGGACCGAGGACCGC